rnacentral:rRNA from 1 species
UACGGAGGAUCCAAGCGUUAUCCGGAUUUAUUGGGUUUAAAGGGUGCGUAGGCGGCUUAUUAAGUCAGGGUGAAGACGGUGGCUCAACCAUCGCAGUGCCCUUGAUGACUGAUGAGCUUGAAGUACACUUGAGGUAGGCGGAAUGUGACAAGUAGCGGUGAAAUGCAUAGAUAUGUCACAGAACACCAAUUGCGAAGGCAGCUUACUAAGGUGCAAUUGACGCUGAGGCACGAAAGCGUGGGAUCAA